GUCAUGGGACUCGGACUUCCGCCAAUCCUAGGAGCUCCCCUUUUCUCCAGUGCUUUUCUUGCCCAGCAGGGAGGCUUCUGGACUGCUUCUGGGCCUCCACUGCCAGUCCCCGACUUCGGCCUGUGACCUUCCCGGAGGGGUGGGGAGCCAAGGGCCAGGGAUGUUGCCCAACAAGACCACCGCCUCACAGGGCCGCUGGACCACAGACGAGGGCCUUCGGACCCAGGCGCAGCCAGCCACCCACCCGUGCCCGCGGUGGCCUGCAGCAGCGCAGGGGCCAGGGCUGUGGAGCUGGGCAGCCAGCCCUGCACCAUUGACAGCCGGGGCACGUCUGCAGCGCCCCAGGGAACAAUCAAUGGACUCUGUGUCCCGGGAGCUGGGGACACGCCUGUAAGGCCUUUCUGCCUGCACCGUCACUGGGAGAAAAAUCAAGUUGUGCAGCAUUCUGGCCGACUAAAUGGGCUUGCCUUCUGCAGAGAGGCAGUCCUGGAGGACAUAACUCAGGAGCCAUCUCCCAGGAAACUCUUCAUCAGAACAUCCCUUGUCCUUCUGUAUUUGUUUUUUUGCUUUUGUAUUAAAAAGCUGUUUUGGGGGCCGCCUGGGUGGCUCAGUGGGUUAACCCUUUGCCUUUGGCUUAGGUCAAGAUCUCAGGGUCCUGGGAUCGAACCCCGCAUCUGCUCAGCAGGGAAUCUGCUUCCCUCACUCUCUACCUGCCCCUCUGCCUACUUGUGA
rnacentral:lncRNA from 1 species